rnacentral:rRNA from 1 species
CAGCCGCCGCGGUAAUACGUAGGGUGCAAGCGUUGUCCGGAAUUAUUGGGCGUAAAGAGCUCGUAGGCGGUUUGUCGCGUCUGCUGUGAAAACUGGAGGCUCAACCUCCAGCCUGCAGUGGGUACGGGCAGACUAGAGUGCGGUAGGGGAGAUUGGAAUUCCUGGUGUAGCGGUGGAAUGCGCAGAUAUCAGGAGGAACACCGAUGGCGAAGGCAGAUCUCUGGGCCGUAACUGACGCUGAGGAGCGAAAGCGUGGGGAGCGAACAGGAUUAGAUACCCCAGUAGUCCCUGUCUCUUAUAC